CAGCCGCCGCGGGAAUACGAAGGGGGCUAGCGUUGUUCGGAUUUACUGGGCGUAAAGCGCACGUAGGCGGACUUUUAAGUCAGAGGUGAAAUCCCGGGGCUCAACCCCGGAACUGCCUUUGAUACUGGAAGUCUUGAGUAUGGUAGAGGUGAGUGGAAUUCCGAGUGUAGAGGUGAAAUUCGUAGAUAUUCGGAGGAACACCAGUGGCGAAGGCGGCUCACUGGACCAUUACUGACGCUGAGGUGCGAAAGCGUGGGGAGCAAACAGGAUUAGAUACCCCGGUAGUCCCUGUCUCUUAUAC
rnacentral:rRNA from 1 species